rfam:Bacillus marisflavi strain JCM 11544 scaffold5, whole genome shotgun sequence.
GUCUAUUGGGAAGGCGUUGAACCUGAAUGUCCGAUGGGCGCUUGCAUUCAGGGGAGCCAGUAGCGCAACCGACCGCAUAUGAA